UAAAAAAAAACAUUACUAAAAAGCUAAGUAAAUAAGGCAUUCUAAACUUGUCCUUAUCCGGUCCCUAAAAAUAGGGAAUCCUAAAUCAUUCGUUCUUCUUCUCAGUUUCCUAAUUCUGGCGCAUCCAUGUUUCCAUCUCUCCACUCAACCUCUUUGUUCUUUAUCCUCAUUUAGGUGAUCUCCUUCCUUGGUUGACAGAGUGAUAUUUUCCCUCAAAGGUAAUCCCCCUUAUCCUCGUGUGUCUUCCUCUUGCUUUGUGUCUAACAUUUCUAUUUAUGUAGAUGUGAAUCCGGUGGAAUAUUGGGUGAACUUUUGUUGGGAUUGAACCAUGGUACUCCUUCUAAAAGCUCGAGGAAGCUCUAUUACUGCUGAUUCGGUUUGGCAUCCCCCAUUUUUUCUAGUCCUUAUUUGUAAACUGUAAUAGCUUAGGCUAGGAGGCUUAGUCAUUGCUGGGUAGCUUCCAUACAAGCAUGACUGUAAUGUGUAAAUAUAACAGAUGUGGCUUUCUGAGUUCUUCAUUUGUAUUAGCAUGCUUGCACUAUUCUUUUGGUCUUGAUACGCAAUGAUGGUAUUUGCCGCUUGUCUACAUUGAUGAUUUUCUUUCCUCUACUAGAUAGAUUAUAGAAGCUCUGUGCCUUUAUUGUCUCUACUUGCUCUGUACCUAUAUUUGCUAGAUAAUCCGCUAAGGAGUUUGCUUCUCGGAAUAUAUACUUGAUCUUAACUUGUUUCACUGUUAUGGCCUUUUGUAUCUCUUCUAUCUUUUCUGCUUGCUCCCAAGGAGUUUUCCAUUUCUUGGUUAAUAUGUUCUUUAGCGUCAAAGAGUUUGUUUCUAGGAUGAUCUUCUCAAAGCUUUGUGUCAAACAAUACUGCAUCGCCCUCCACACUCCCAUUACUUCAACUUCCAUAUUUGUGGCUAUCCUAAUAUGUUGUGCUUUUGCAUACAGUAGGUCUCCUCUGCAAUCCCAUAUAAUGAAUCCAUAUGAGCUCUAUCCUGGGUUUCCUCUGCAAGCUCCAUCAGUAUUGCAUUUGAUCCAAUCUCUGUCCGGAGGUUCCAGUGCACUUUUAAAUAAUGCAAUGUUGGCUUAUACGUAUUCAAUGUGUGAAUGAUCUACUGCCAGUCCAGCUUAGUUCUCCUUAUCCAUGGAUAUUUCUCAUUGAGUAGCAUUUGUAUUGUCUGUUGACACUGCCCCACCAUCUUAGCAUAGGCCACCUCUUUGCCAUGUCUUCUAUUGUUUCUUCUCUUCCAUAGUUCCCACAAGAUUAUUGCUGGUAUCGCCUUAUAAAUUUGCCUCAACUUAUGUUGUCCUGGCCACUCCCACCAUGUUGUAAUUAGUUGUUGCAAAUGUAAUCCUUGAAUGCUUAUACCUGCACAAGUAGCAAAAUGCCUCCAUAGUUGUUGGGCUAUAGGCGCAAUUAGAAAAAGGUGUUGUAUAGGGUGUGUUUGGUAUGAAGGAAAAUGUUUUUCAUGGAAAAUGUUUUCCUGGAAAACAAGUUGAUUUUUGACUUAUUUUCUCAUGUUUGGUUGGUGAGUAGAAAAUAUUUUCCGAAAAAGAUUUUCAGUGUUUGAUUUAUGAAUAAUUUUUUUUUUUUGAGAAAUAUCUUUUAUUUUUAAUAAGGUAGAAAAUAAUGUUUGAAAUUGAAAAUAUCUUUUAAAAACAAACAUAAAUUUUUUUNNNNNNNNNNNNNNNNNNNNNNNNNNNNNNNNNNNNNNNNNNNNNNNNNNNNNNNNNNNNNNNNNNNNNNNNNNNNNNNNNNNNNNNNNNNNNNNNNNNNUAACCCAACCAAACAUGAGAAAAUUGGAAAACAUCUUUCGGAAAAUGUUUUCCUUCAUACCAAGCACACCCAUAGUUUCCUCCCCUCCUUUAUCACAACAAUAGCAAUUGGACACCAUAUUCACUCUCAUUUUCUUGAAAACAUCAUAUGUGGGUAUUCGCUUUCUCCAGACCCUCCAUAAGAAGAAUGAAAUUUUAAAAGGGAGCCCUUUUAUCCAUAUGUUAUCUCUCCAUUCCAUUUCUUCCUUCUUUCUCCUCACUAGCUGAAAGGCUGAUUUAAGAGUGAAGUCUCCUUGCGAAUUUCCCAUCCACCACGGCUUGUCCUUCUCUUCUUCAGUCAAUGAAGGACUAAUGUUCUCCACAAUAUGAGUCAAAAUUUUCGGUGAUAGGAGCUGUUGUAAUCUUCGUGUGUGCCAUUGCCCAUUGUGUAUCAUAUCUUUGACCUCUAAUUCCUCCUUCACUCUUUGUAUUUCUGUGUAAAAUAGAGCACCCUGCUUAGUCCAAUUAUACAUCCAGAAGCUGGCAAUUCCUUCUUUCUGUUGCUACCAGAUCUCGUGCUCAACCUCAUCCUUCACUCUCAUCAUUUUUUUCCAGAUCUGUGAUGCCUCCCUAUUCUGUGCCAUAAUUGGAUGAUCUUUUUUACAAUAUUUAAACCACAGAAACGAACUCCAAAGAGAAGUUGUUGAAGUUCUUAAUAUCCACCAAAUCCUCGCAAACAUUGUAUUAGAAACAUCAAGUAAUGAUCUAAAUCCUAAUCCUCCUUCCCUUUCAGGAUAGCACAUAUCCAACCAACUCACCCAGUAUUUACCCCUGACUCCUGCCUGAUCACCCCAAAAGAACUUCGCAAAUAUUUGAUGUAUUUGAUCUAUCACACUUUUUGGGGGGUUGAUUGUUGAUAUCAUGUAUAUAGGCAUAGACUGUAAAACAUGACUUAUCAAUAUAAAUUUUCCCCCAAAAGUGAGAAAUAUAUUCUGCCAAGAAUAGAUUCGAGCUGCGAUCUUCUUUAUUAGCCCUUCAAAGUAUCUUUUCUGCUUCCUUCCAUAGUAUACUAGACAACCCAGGUAUAUGAGAGGGAAAUUUCCAGGAUUAAGUCCUGUCAGCUUUCUCAACCUUAUUGUCAUAAUCAAAGGCGUUUUUUCAUGUAGGUAAAAAACUUUCAUCUUUAUUGACCUUUUGACUCGAAACUCUCUCAUAUCCACUCAAUACCUUCAUCGUUUGGAUGAUUGAAUCUCUAUCCCCUGAUCCAAACAAAAUAGUGUCGUCUGCAUAAGCUAGAUGGUUAAUUUUGAAACUCUAUUUUGACAUCCCAAAACCUUUAAAGUUAUCUAGAUCAUUAAGAGGAUUCAAGUUCAUGGACAACACUUCUACAAUAAUAAUGAAUAAGGUAGGGGAUAGUGGGUCCCCUUGUUUUAAGCCUCUAGUAGACUGAAAGAAGCCAUAUGUUUGGCCAUUGAUUAAUACUGAGUACCAGUUAGCUAAAAUCAGCCUCCACACCAUAUCUAUGAUAAAUUCUGGAAACCCAAACUUCAUCAACACUUUGGUUAAGAAAAUCCACGCAAGUCUAUCAUAUGCCUUUGCCAUGUCCAGUUUUACCAUAACAUUCAACUCCUUGUUUCUUAAGUGGAUGUCCCUUAGGAUAUCCUGUGCCAGUAGUACAUUCUUUGUGAUGCUUCUGCCUUUAACAAUUCUGGAUUUAUUGAGAGAGAUUAUGCUCGGGAGGAUCCCAACUAUCCUUUCAUGAAUCAUUCUAGAAAUAACCUUGUUUGUGAAAUUUCUCAGACUUAUGGGUCUCAUAUCUUUAAACUCUUGCACAUUCUCUUUCUAUGGGAUUCAUAUCAAAUUAGUAUGUGUUAUAUACCUGGGAAGCUCGUGUCCACUAAAGAAAGCUCUAACUAACCUUGUUAAAUCCUCUCCUACGAUGUCCCAACAGUGCUGGAAGAACUUCCCUGAAAAACCACCUGGUCCGCUAGCACUAUCUCCAUUCAACAUCAGAACCACUCCUCUUACUUCUUCUGUACUCGGUAAUCUGAUCAUUUCUUCAUUCUGCUCACCAUUAAUCAGCUUGGGAAUCUGUUGAAGCAUACCAAAAUCCAUGUUUCUUUCCUCCUCUGAAAAUUGAUCCUGAAAGUAUUCUAUAGUAGCCUCUCCCAUUUGUUGGUUAUCGGAUACUUCUUUCCCUCUAACAUCCUUGAUUUGUGUAAGAUGAAGCUUUUUCCGUCUCCCUCUUACAUAAGAAUGAAAUAAUUUAGUAUUUUUGUCCCCAUCACUAAACCAUCUCAAGCCCGCGUUCUGCUUCCAAUAUUCUUCCUCAAGUGACAAAUAUUUCCUCAAUUCUGCCUCCGCCUUGCUUAGGUCGCUUCUGUUUGAGGGCGAUGGUUGGUUCUCUAACUUUAUUUCUUUCACUCUAAUCAGAUCCUCCAAUGUGGCAAUUUGUUUAAAAAUGUCUCCAAACGUAGCUUUACUCCAACUUGCUAGGGCCUUCUUAGUAUUUUUAAGUUUAUCAUGAAAUAAUGUAAAAGGGUUCCCUUCUAUUGUCGACCUCCAGUGUUGUCUGACUACUUCAUUAAAGCCCUUGUGUUUAGUCCAAAAAUUGAGAAAUCUAAAUGGCUUAAUGUGUGGAUCCUCUGCAGUGUUACAUGUCAUGUGUAAUGGGGCAUGAUCCGAUCCUUGUCUCACAAGGUGAUGUAUUCCACUUGACGGAAAUAGGUUGACGAACUCUUGAUUCACCAGAACUCUAUCCAACCUCUUGAAGAUGCAUUCCUCUUGUACUCUACCAUUCCACCAAGUGAAAUUACUUUGCUGAAAGUUUAAUUCUGAUACAACGCAACAACUAAUGCAUUGAGCAAAGUCUAUUGCCUCUGAUUGGGUAAAGGGUAACCCUCCCAAUUUUUCUUCCUCCUUAAGUAUCACGUUAAAAUCACCUCCUAUAACCCAAGGACCAUCUACCUCUUCCGCCAAAUUCUGCAAAUCUUCCCAUAGAGCCCCUCUUUCCUAUGUACAACACUUUAAAUAUACAUCUGUAACCAUCACACAUGUGUUGUAUCUUGACAACUUAAUCGUCAGUUGUUGAGAUGAAUCCAAAAUUACUUGCCCUUCAUAGUCUUCAUCCCAAAAAAUCCAAAUUUUACCCGAACUAUUUGCCAUGGCUUUUUUAUCACCCAGCUUUAUUCUGUACUGUUCAAGUUCACAUGGAUCCCUAAAAGGUUCCAUAAUUGCUAUGUAUUUGUAUUGAUGUCUUCUAUUAAGGUCAAUCACUCGCUCAAAAGACUUCUGAGUGUUGACUCAUCUUAUGUUCCAAAAUAUUAGUUUGUCAAUCAUUGAUCUAUGGCUACUAUGCUUUCCUUAUUACUCUUUUUUUUUACCUGCAGCGAUAUAAUUGAUUUGCUUUUCCUGAUUCCCUUCUUCAAACUAAUCACGUGCCUUGGCGAUAGAUCUCCUGCCCUGCUGAUAUAUUCUAUGUUCUCAUUCAACCCUUCAUCCUCCUCUAAUUCAUGCAUUUUUUGGAUCUGAUCAUCGGCUAAGUCUAUCAUGAUAGGAGUUUGUUGUAUUAGAGAUCCAACUACCACUAUCUGCAUACUUGUUAAGCCCCGAACUCCUUCUCCAUCGCCAUCUUGAUGAUGUGUUUGUUCCCCCAAUAUACUAUUUGUUAACCCUUCCUCUUAAGUCUCUAUGUUUAUUUCUUCUCCACUAUCCACUAUUGUUUUCCUCACCUCCUCCUCCUUGCUAUCUCCUCGAUCCAUAUAAUCCUCCUUCUCUACUUCUUUGUUUGGUUCGUAAAUGGUUUCUUUCACCCAUUGCUUUGUGUUUCUCUCCUGAUCCACAAUGUUCUCUUGUUGUUCCUUGACUGCCUAUUCUUCCUCAUUCUCCUGGAGUGCGUCAUAUUUGUUUGUGGUUAUGACUCCUACUUUGUACCAGACCUGAUUUGUCUUCUUCUUCAUUGGUCCCCCUCUGUCUUGCCUUCUCUCUUGGAACCUCUCGUUAUUAUAUUGAUCUUCCCCUCUUUUUUCAUUAUUCGCCUCAUUGUCCUUUUUUGUUUUUGUGCCCCCUUGUACUGUCUUCUUCUUCGCCUUGCCCCCUUCAAAUCCCAUUGUCUUGUCCUUCUGAUUAGCAAGGUGUAGAUCUGGAUGAUUAACAUAGCAUUGUUGUUCAUCGUGUCCUUAUAUCAUGCACGUUGUACAGUAUUUGGGCAUGUAAUCAUACUUAAUCUUGAUCCAUUUUUCUUGUACUUCUCUAUUAGGUUGUCUCAUGCCUAUGCUUAUUAUUUUUGGGAAUUCUCCUAAUAGAUCCACCUCCACCUUAACUCUGCGCAACUCGGUCUUGUUUGGUUUUUGGUCGUCAUAUCCACCUGUAGUGGCUUUCCGACUGCUGCUGCCAUCGAGAACAUUGUCUCCUUACCAAAGAAGUUUGGUGGAAGGGAUGGGAAAGAUAUCUAUGUUAUUGCAGUAGAUGUUAACUCCUCCGGAUCGAACAUCGGAUCCCAUUUCAAUGUUCUCAUUGGAUAUGAUCCAUUUUGAUGAGUAAUGUAAAAUAUCGGUUUUGAUAACACGUUGACAUAAUCCUCCAGUAGGGUAGCCCUAAUAAAGACAUAUCUAUUUGUCAGCAAUCCUAUAUUGCACUCCCCCUUCAGAUCACAUUGUUUAGGUAUUAGUCUACGUAGCUCUCGGAUGUCAGGCCAUCCAUAUGAGAACUUUCCAACCACCGCAUAUUAAAGGUUCUCAUUCACUAUCAUUUGCUCCACCUCCAAUUGAUCCCAUACGACUCUUGGCUCACCGUGUAGAUAUGUUAGAGGUUUUAGUGAUACUGGUCUCCUUUCCACCGUCGAUGAUCGUAGUAAAUUCGCAUAAGUCUGUUGACCUACCUCCCCUGAAGGCUGGCCAGCAGCCGUCGUGGCCAUGAUAUUCAGGUCGAUAUUGGUCAGCAGAAGGGCUUUUCGUUUCCUCCUAAUCUUUGUUUUUUUCAGCCAAAGAAAAGUUGUAUGUUUCUCCUUUAUAUUACAUAUAAAUUCUUUAUUUUUUCUUGUAAAUCUAAUCUGAAGAGGCCUAUUGGGAUGUCCAUAAUUAUAGUAUUUUUCUUCAUUGACAUUGAUUUUUUACUUUAAGUAAUUAAAAAAUGUACACAAAUAUAAGCGUCAUUCAAAGUAAUAAAGCUAUAGCUAAAGGAUAUGAAUUUAAAACUAAAUGUCAUAGCUAAAGUGAGUUCCAUAAUUUUGAAAAAAAUGUACACUAAUUAAAUUAAAGUAGAACAAAAAAUAUUUCAACUCUCUCUUAUAUAAUAAGAUAAUAAGAUAACUUCUCAGUCGAAAGAAAAUGUACUCCCUCCCUCUUAAAUUAGUUGUCGCUUCUCAGAAGUCAAAUACAAUAAAUUUGAUUAAUAUUUUAAAAUAUAUAUUUUCAUCAAAUAGACAUAAGAAAAUAUAAUUUUUAAAUAUCUAAAUUUUAAUGAAAAAUAUUCAAUUUAUCUAAUUUGAUUUAAUUCUAAAAAAUAAGUCAAAUCGACUCUAAUAAGCGGAAAGUAACUAUUAAUUUGGGACAAGGGAGUAGUUAUUCAGCUAGUGCAUAGUUAUUAAUUUUGGCAAGAGUGACCUAACUUGACUGAUACUUCACUAUUAUAUUUAAGGUAAAACAAAUCUUAUCAACAAUUCUCUUCUCCGUACAUCUUUAACUGAAACAAUUUAGUAGCAUUUUUGAUAUUUGCAUUAAGUUAAAUUAUUGAACUAUAACAAUCAUAAAUAAAAUUGAGAAAACAUUUUAACCCACAUAAUACAUCUAAGGAACGCAACGUUCAAAAUGAGUGAUACAAAGUGGGAAAAGGUAAACAAAAGGAGAACUAAAUUUUAAAAAUGAAAAAUAGGAAUUCCUAAGAGAAAUUGACUUUAGUUUAAACAGAGCUAUUGCAACAAAUACGACUUGAUAGAUAUAUAAUCUAACUUAGGUACUUUCCAAAAUCAAAAUGUCUCAAAAUCAAGAUAGAGAUAUCUGAUUGGGGGAUGAGGAGGAGAUUGAGGAAACACAAUGAUCAUGAAAGGUUCAUGUCGACAGCUGGUGCACACCGAUACUAUAACAACCUCAUCAACAAAAAGAUAAAGUUGGAGAGAGGGAUUGAAGAAAAGAGGUUGGCAGAACUUCUUACGGACUUCUAUGGCCGUUAAGAUGACAAAAUGUAAAAUCUACAACUACAACUGAUGAUCUAGUUAGAGAGAAAAGGGUGAUAUGAGCUGUGAAGAGAUUUCAUUGAUUGAGAAAAACCGAAUCUUACAAUGCACUAUCUACAGACAUAUAUACUUGAUGUUGCAACUCAUACAAUAUAUUCAUAACCUCUCACAAUCCUACAUCUGUCUAUAAUAACAGAAACAGUUACACCUAAUUGAUCUUAACAAUAACUAACUGCUAAGCUAAGCUGGUAACAAAUCAGUAAGGUGAAGUUACUCCACUACCUUCACUGUCAAGCCCCGAGCCUACACCCUGGGUGAGACUGUCACUGGAGAACCAUUGCUGGCCCUAAGUAAACCCUUGGCCUGGCUUACUUACUCAGCAGAAGACUUAAACAUAAGAAAUAAUCUCAAAUAAGAAACUUAUGAAUUAAAACUUAGAAUGUCUUUAAGGAAACGUUCAAACUAGCCAAAAUGGCUACUCAAGUCUCAUAGCAAAAUAUCUUAAAUACAAGACUAAAGAACUAAAACUACUCGUCUAUGAAGCCUCUAAAACAAAGAGGGAUGUCAGGACAAGACCCUCGAUCAUCCUAAUGACUAAAGUACAAAAUCAAAAUAAUAAGGGAUCCUCCGGAAAGCAAGGAGGCUCACCAACUGACUCUGAGUGCUCAACUGGAUCAACGAGGCGCUGGAUGUUGAUCCUGGUUACCUGUGUCUACAUCAUAAAAUGAUGCAGGCCAAAUGACAUCAGUACAUUGAAUGUAUAAGUAUGUAAGGGGAAAACUAAACAUAACACAAGCUUGAAAGGAAUAUGAACGAAACACUUACAUUGGCUUUACUCAACUCAUGAAUAACUUACUCAAAUGCAAGGUAAACAACAAUAAUAGUGCAGUUUAUACAAAGCAUUUAAAACGGUAGGUGACAACUCAAUGUAUUAAAGAAAAUGCAAUAGCAACUUAAUUACAUAAAAAAAGUAAUAUAAUACUGUGGGAGUUUCUCUAACCGACAACCACCACUAUGAGCCUAAGUGGUGAUACAACGUCUUGCCCACGCUACCAAAAUUUUCCUAUACUUUGCUGUCAUAUAGAACGCCUUAACUAAGUGGAUCCACUAGUCUAUGCUAAAAAGCACUGAGGAAUCAUCUAAAAAGUAUGAUCCUUUCUACCCAUGAUAGAUACAUGGUUUAUGGAGACUUGAGCUAUUAUGAACUCGCAUUCCCAUAUCGGUGCUCAAUACUACUCCCAAAAUAUAUUUACUCAUAUGUUUUUAAAACAAAACUCUUUCUUUGGUUUGAGAUAAUUACUCAAAACUUAGCUUAAAAGCUCUCUUGGAAAUCGGUGUUUCCUUUCUUACUCAAAUGUGAAAACAUUUUAACUUUUGGGAAUACUUAGUUCCCGUAUAAUCUUUGAAGAAAUGAACUCUUACUCUUAUUCUUUAGUCAACUCAAAGCUUAAGUCUUAAAACUAAGUUAAAACGUUUGUAAAAGACUUUUGAAAAACUCUAUGAACUUCUCUUGACUUGAUUCUUAACUUCUUAACUUGACUCUUAACUUUCCUUGAAUUGAAAUUUGGAUUCAAGGCUCAUGAUCUCAUGUUUAUGGAUGAUUUCAUGAUGUUUAGAUGCACCUUGGAGUGUUGGAAUCAACUAGGAAACAUAGGUAUGUUGCUAAGGAACUAGUAUGGAAAAAAAGGGGAGAAGUGGGAAGAACUGGCGUCCCUGGUGCUCUGAGAGGCGCGUGGUACCAGCCUUAAAACUUCAUAGGAUGAGGGGUGGGGCGCAAUGCCGCUAUGGCUGGAGCGGUGCCCCAGGCCCCUGCCCAGGUGAACUCUGACUUUUCUCCUUCGUUUUUCAACUCUAUACCCCCUAUUUCAACUUAGUUCUUUCCCCAAACACUUAGAAUCGACUAUACCCUCAAUAUAUACAAGAUUCAACUCGAAAUCACACCUAAAUACAUGAAUCAACCUCAAGAAACUUCAACAACAAGAACCCACAAGAUUUCAAACGAAUUAACAUCAAGUACUCAUAGGAUUUUCUUUCAAAACUAUACAAUUUCGCUGAAUUGAAUCAUGAUUAGCGCGUGGGUGAACUAACCCAAUGCUAUGUGAUCUCAUAUAACUCGUAGGGAUUAACCCUUGGCGAAAUCCACACGAAAAUCUCCAAAAAAUCGAUGAAUCUUGAACUUUCUUCUCCUUUCUCCUCUUUUCUCUUUUCUUCAAGCCCUAGCGUGAAUUUUCAAUUUUCUAAACUGAUCUAAUUCUGAUUAGACACCAAAUAAACUCCUAAAAACGAAUUAAAUUAAUUGUCAAAGGAAAAGAUUAAAAUACCCUUCCAAAAUCCGGUUUAGACUUUCCUUAUUUGAACAGCUCAAUUUCAAAUGGACAUAUCUCACUCAUACAAACUCGGAAUCGCGAAAACUUGGCGGCGUUGGAAAUAUAAUUCCAAGAUAUUUCCCACAGUAUCUAGAAACACACCUAACUCAUCCUGAGCUACGAGUUAUGGUCCUUUGAAGUUGACCCAAAACUCAAACUUAACAUAACUUAACAAAUUUCCAUAUUUUUCAUUCUUUCCUAAAAUUAUUAUUUCCAAUUCUAACUCUUUCUAGCUCUUUCAAAAAACAGAGGUGUUACACUCACUAUCUUCAAUACUCCUCCUCAAACUAGGUGUGGUAAAAACAUUCAGAACACCAAGUUUGGAUAAUAGUGAGUCAUGUUGCAGUCUUCCCAAUGCUUAGUUAGUAUGUCUGCUUAUUGGUGUUGUGUAGGGAUAUAUAUAGUACUAAUCAACCCUUGUUGAAUCUUCUCCCUAAUGAAGUGGCAGUUAAUCUCUAUGUGUUUUGUUCUUUCAUGGAACACAUGGUUUGCUGCAAUUUGAAGUAUUGUAUUACUAUCACAAAACAUAGAUAUCGGUUCCUAAAUUUGAAUGUUCAAUUCUUUAAAAAAGUUUGUCGCCCAAACAAUUUCAACAAUUAGACAAGCUAAGCUUCUAUAUUCUGCUUCAACAGAACUUUUUGAGACUGUAGCCUGCGUCUUGGAUUUGCUAGAGAUAAAGGGAAUCUCCCAACUUAAGUAAAUAUCAUGUCACUGAUCUCCUGGUGCUUUGGCAUGUUGCCCAGUCAAUAUCACAAAAACCAAUAAGUUUCAUUUUCUUAUGUGAGGACAUAAGUAAUCCCACGCCUGGAUGAUUCUUAAUGUAUCUAAGAACUCUAAUAGCAGUUUGCCAAUGCUGAGCUUUUGGUCUUGUAAGAAUUGACUGAGAGUUUGGCCUGUGUAAGCAGUGUUAGGUCUAGUGAUGGCUAAGUACAACAACUUGUCAAUCAUUCUUUGAUACUAAGAAACAUCGAAUGAAACUUCUUCUCACUACAGCCUUCUUCAGAUGUUGUAGUGAGUUUCAUAUUACAUUCCAAUGGGGUAAUAUUUGUCUUCCCUGCAGUAAUGCCAGCUUCAACUAAGAGCUCUAAUGUAUAUUUUCUUUGGUUCAUAAGGAUUCCCCUUGUGGAUCUGCUGAAUUCUAUACCUAGGAAGAAUUUCAACUCUCUUAAAUCCUUGAUCUUGAACCACUUAUGCAAAAUGUCUUCAGUGUCCUGAAUUAGUGCAGCAUUGUUCCCAAUAAUAAGGAGGUCAUCAACCAAGACUAAAAUAACAACAAAGUUAGUCCCUUUCUUCUUAGUGAAUAAUGAAUAAUCCAGAUGACUCUGACUAUAUCCAGACUUCAACACGGCCUCAGUAAGUUUAAAAUUCCAUUAUCUUGAGCUUGUUUGAGUCCAUAAAAGGAUUUCACAAGCUUAUAGACCAUAGGUUGAAUAUUUGCAACCUAUGACCUUUAGGUAAUUCCAUAAAUACUUCCUCCGUGAGAUCACCUUGUAGGAAUGCAUUAUAGACAUCCAUUUGGUAUAUGCACUAAUUCUCUACCGCAACCAGUGCAAUAUCAGACCUUAUUGUCACCAUUUUUACUGAUGGAGAGAAGGUUUCUUGAUAGUCUAUCUCAGCAGUUUGGCUAUACCUUUUCCCACUAUUAUGGCUUUGUACCUUUCCACUUCACCAUAUGCCUUGUAUUUUAUCUUGAAAAAACAUUUACAACCAAUCACAGGCUUCCCUUAUUGCCAAGGAACCAGGUUCCAAGUGCCAUUAUCAUUAAAGACCUGUAAUUCUUGUUGCAUUGUUGUUAUCCAGUUCUCAUCCAACAGGGCCUCUUCAUAAGACUUGGGCUCAUUAACAGCUGAAAACUUGCUCAAGUAGGCUUUAUAUGUGGGAGAUAUGUACUGAUAGGAAACACAAUCGAAUAAUGAGUGAGGUUGCUUGCCACUCUUUCCAAUAGUGAUAUACUCUUGACACCACGCUGGUGUGAUCACAGUUCUACUAGACUUCCCAGCAACAAUGGUGAUAGGUGGAGUAGGCAUGUUUGUAUUUUUAGGAAUAUCAACAAUAUCAUUCAGUGAGUCUGUAGUAUCAUCCAAUGUUGUGAACACAUUAGAGACCUAAAGUACAUGAUCAACAACAAUCUAUGCAGGGACUUAAACUUGUUCUGCCUUUAAGGACUGAGUGAUGUUUGGGAACAAGGGAACUGGAUCAUCAUGCACUUUAUUAAAUGGAAACACAUACUCUUUAAACACCACAUCCCUACUAACCAUGAAGUUCUUGUCAGUAAUAUUAUAAAUGAUAUACCCCUUCUGAGUCAAAGAAUAACCCAUCAUAAUAACACAAACAGUGGCUCUGGGAGAAAAUUUGUCUUUUCUAACAAGUGUGAUAGAAUAACACAAACAUCCAACCAUCCUUAAAUGAUCCAGCUUAGGGUUCCUUUUAUAGAAAACCUCAUGAGGAUAUUGACAUUGCAAUGUAGUAGGUAACAUGUUGAUUAAGUAAACAAUUACCAUAACACAUUCUCCCCAAAACCUAAUAGGUAUGCCACCUUGAAACAUAAUACUUCUUGCUACUUCCAACACAUGUCUGUGCUUUUUCUCCACCACUCCAUUUUGUUGUGGAGUGUGUGGACAACUACUUUGAUGGACUAUACCUAAAGAGGUAAGUAAGUAUUUGCAUUCAAUGUUGAAAAACUCAAUCCCAUUAUCUAAUCUAACAUUCUUCACACAAUGAUCAAAUUGAGUUUUAAUCAUUUGGAAAAAAGACUUCAAAAAAAUGACAACAUCAGAUUUUCAGUCUGAGCAAAUAUUACUUUGAUGGACUAUACCUAAAGAGGUAAGUAAGUAUUUGACUCUUAUCUGAAAUGAUCAUCUAGUAUGUUUUGUUCACGGAGGGAAAUAAAAUCAUCAUGAGGAUUUGACUACGUGCCUGAGUAAGUAUAUGACUCAUUAAGCCCCAUCAUAAAUGCAAAUAACUUCAUAUAUUGCAAGUGACUCGCAAAAACUAUGGAUUUAUCACAGCCACAAGAAGGAGGGGCUACAUGGGCAUCAAAAUCAUCCCAAAGAAGUCUCAGUUGCGUGAAAUAGGCAGAAACAGAGUAUGUACCUUGUGUGAUAGUGCAAAUCUCUUGAUACAACUGGUAGCCUCGUGAUCCAUCAACCUUAUCGAACCUCUCCUUUAGGUCAGCCCACACAAUAGCAACAUCAGAGGCAUAGAUGAUUUUAUUCAUUAGUUCCUUCGAGACAAAAUUUAAGACAAUUGCAUUGCAUUUCUCCCAUUAUUCUUCCAAGGCAGCACUAUAAUCACUCUUUUUACAGGUACCAAAGACGAAUCCAACUUUGCUCUUGGCUUGGAGAGUAAGGAGCAUUGAUCGGCUCAACAAUUGAGUAAUUCUCCACACAUGUAAGAUGAAUUGAAAUCAAUGUUGAACCUGGGGUGUCAGAUUGUAGAAGAUACAUGGGAUGAUUUAGAUUCUUCUUAACGACUUUGAUUGUAUCAGUACUCACCAU
rnacentral:lncRNA from 1 species